rnacentral:misc_RNA from 1 species
AUUUAGGGCAUGUGGAGAUCGGCUAAUUGUUAUAGGUGGACCUAGGGCUUUAGGUGGGGGAAUGAUUGAGCUUAACUCUUGGGUUCCGAGUGAGGGCCCCCCACAAUGGGAUCUGCUUGCAAAGAAACCCUCAGGCAGCUUCGUGUACAAUUGUGCAGUGAUGGGAUGCUGAGUUGUGAAGUUUAAGCAACAAAAAAUGUAGUGCAUGGAGGCCUUUCUGUUGGACUAUUUUUUCAUGGAGAUGGGAAUCUGGACAGUGGGUAAUAUCUGCCUUCCUUUUUGGGGUAAUUUUCAGGUUUUAAUUUAGAUCUAUAGGUACAGUUUUAGAAGGAGGUCUGGAGAUAACUUUGCCUCUUACUUUAAUUAUUUUGUUUCAUGUACUUUUUCUUCCUUUCUAGUCAGAGCAUCUGUUCAGUUACCAUGAGAGGGUUUCAAAAGUUGGCACAGUGUAGAACUUGCACAGAUGAAUAAAGUACUGUUAUAGUUUCAGGUUGUUUCAAAUGUUAGCAUAUUGUCUAUCAUCCAUCAAAUUAGUUUGAUAAUAGUUCUCAUUUACUUUACCUCAUUUCAAGAGAUGUGCCAAUUUGAAUUCCUUAGAUGAAAAUUCUAAUAUGUCUACACAUGUAUUUCUCUGAUGGCACUGCUUGUGAUUUUUGCAUAUUUGUAAUGAUUGAACUGGUAGUUAUCCAUUCAAUCUGAUUGAAUUGUUGAAAAAAGGCAUCUAAAUUUUUAAUCUGUUUCCUUUUAUAUCACUGAAUCUCAUGGAAUACAUAGGCAGUCAAGAUUAUACACUGCUUUAGUUUUUCAGGUUAGGAUGCCUAGCCUCUGUCUACCUCAGUAGUUCACCUCAAAACUGUAGUGCAGGGAGGUCAUCUCUGACCAUGCAUGGGUUGGCUUUUGUGUUUCAAACAAGACCAUUCAGUGAUUAAAGUAUUUUAUUUAAGAUGUUCAGAAUUGCCUUGCACUGAAGGAAUCUAUUUUGUGAAGUUUGCAUCUCUUAUUUAGCUUGUGCCUUUUUAAUGUAUGCAUCAAUAUAAUUUAGACUUUUAACACUAUCUGUUUGAACUUAUGCUGUCCUGCUUAAAUUUUUGGCUACCUUACCCUGUCUUAACUGAAGCAUUAGUCCUUACGAGUUUGGGUUUCUAUAGUUAUCAAACAUAAUUUGCAUGUUAAUUUGUGAACUUAAUGAAACAAUUAUUUGUAUAUUCUAUAUUUUUCCUAGUUUGGAGACAAGUAAAUAAAAGAUUCAGCUGAUUUAGUGUUUCGUGAUUUUUCAAUUCAUGCAACAUCAUAACUUUAUUCAGGAUACUGUUAAACCUGAUGUUGAUAUUAGUGGAUUUGGUAAAACCUUAGAACUUUAAUUUCUUACUGCUUGUGGUGGUGUCCUUGAGUGCUAUUUUGGGUUGCUUUAUUGUUUUAGCCAAAAAUGGAAGCUGAUCAAGGAGUUUUAAGUUCAAGAAAUUCCAAGUAUGGGCAAGUAUAAAAUCGUCUCUGCCUCCAUUUUCACCUCAGUGAAUUAUUGAGCUGGCCUGGAGAAAUGGUAACACUGAUACACAUAAAGUAGCCAAGGUAUGAAAUUAGCAAUGUUUGGAUUGUCGGUUUUAUUUCAGUAUGUUUUGUUGAUGUGAACAUGAAACAUGGACUGUUAUAGGCAGGAAAAGAAUUUAGAACAAGAUUGGCCAAGUGCGUUCACAUCACAAUAAGUCUAGUCAAAAAGAAAUGGGGGAUACAAGCGCCAUCGCCAUCCAUCUUUGGCUGUGAUCUCUUUGCCAGAAAAGAUGGUGAAAACUGGAAAAAAUAGCCAAGAAUAUCCCAAACAAACAGUGAUUCUUGUUGUGUAUUGAAUGUUCUGUACGUCAUCAAUAUUGGCACAUUUAUAACUCUUGGAUUUGUGUACUUGAGCUGUGACCUCAGAACUUGGCUUAACGUGCAUGGUGGGGAUGGAGUUUUGAGCACAUGAGUGGACAAAGGGCCAAAAAGGUGGUUGCUU